CCCAGCUUGUAAGUGCUUGGUCGGGUGGGCCUCUCUGUCCCCACGGGUUUUCCCCUGAUACUUCAAUGAGAGUCUGUGUCCCGGUGUGGUCCCGCCGUCGCUGUUGCUGUCUGGCAGGCAUGGGCUGGAUCAGAGCGGUGCUUGUUUCGUGGCUCGUGGGGCGCCCCCUCAGGUGCCGUCUGCUCGGUCGCAAUCUCCCUUUCCCGUGUGGUCUAUUACAGGGGGAUCUCACUGCGGCAACUCGCACCUUCAGCCGGUGUCUGGGAGCUCC